rnacentral:rRNA from 1 species
AAAUUGAAGAGUUUGAUCAUGGCUCAGAUUGAACGCUGGCGGCAGGCCUAACACAUGCAAGUCGAACGGUAGCACAGAGAGCUUGCUCUCGGGUGACGAGUGGCGGACGGGUGAGUAAUGUCUGGGAAACUGCCCGAUGGAGGGGGAUAACUACUGGAAACGGUAGCUAAUACCGCAUAACGUCGCAAGACCAAAGUGGGGGACCUUCGGGCCUCACACCAUCGGAUGUGCCCAGAUGGGAUUAGCUAGUAGGUGGGGUAACGGCUCACCUAGGCGACGAUCCCUAGCUGGUCUGAGAGGAUGACCAGCCACACUGGAACUGAGACACGGUCCAGACUCCUACGGGAGGCAGCAGUGGGGAAUAUUGCACAAUG